AAGCAUUUGAACGGAGUUGAAGUCGAAUUGAAAUCUAAAUCUUUAAAUGUAAAUGAGAUGGCUGCAAAACGUCAGUUCCGAGGUAGAAUCAGAAUUUAAAUGAGCAGAUAUACGAACCCAGAAAUAUCUCGUCCCGGUCUGCCAGCUGUCCGUUCAGUGUGCGCGCUGUUUGUACACAGCCCUGGCUCUGUAAAUGAGAAACAAACAAAGUGUCUACAGCGGCUCUGACCAGGACUCUGACUCUGAGGACGACGAAGACACAGUGGGUUCAGGCGGGGACAGGAGAGGCGUCAAGAGGAGCGAGACGAAGGUCGGGCAGCGACAGCGUGUAGAGAAUAUUUUUCACAUCUAACGCGGUGGAUUAAGGAUUUAUUUUGACCAAACCAGAGUUGAUGAUUGUUGGAACAGUUUAAAGACUUAACCAAGACAGUUUUAUUUUGUUUUAUUGUGUUUUACAAUGAGUCAACAAGGCAAAUAAGGCGAUGUUAGUCUUAGAAACUUUCUUUCUGAAGGUGUAUGGUUGUAUUUUUCUGUUUAAUAAGGAAAAUAGGUGUAGGAAUAUUCCCCUUCCUGACAUUUUAUGAUUUUAUUUUGUUUACGAGACUAAAAAAAGACUAAAGAGAGCUUGUGUAACAUAGCAAACUGGCAGCUCUCACGCACCUCCAAGCUGAAACUAUAACUGAUAAUUUUAGUUAAUGUUUGAAUGUUUUAAUCUCUUAAAUAUCUUAAAUACUUACACAUUGCACCUUUAAAGUAUCAAAAGUAAAAGUACUAAUUUUGUAGAAAAAUGGCCCCUGUAACUGAUAUAUUAUCAUAUAUGUAUAUUAAAUUAUUACUAAUGCAUCAAUGCACGAGUAGAAUUUCAUUGUUGUAGCUGGUUGAGGUGGAGCUAGUUUUAACUACUUUAUAUACAGUUAGGUAGCUUAGUCCAGUGGUUCCCAAUCUAAGGGUCAGGCCCCCUCCAAAGGGUCACGAGAUAAAUCUGAGGGGUCGAGAAAUGAUUAGGGAAGAAGAGAAAACUAAGUUGUGAUACCCAAUCUAUACUGAUUUUUUUGGACGUUUCUUUAAUCUUUGUUCUUUUGUAAAACAUUAGAUACUUUGAUCAGUUAAUUAAAUGAAACCAUCUGAGAAGUUUAGAGAAACGUCUCGUUGGUGGAAGUGCGAGAGAGAGAAACUUGUAUUUCACUAAAGCGUCCACUAGAUGGCAUCACCUCUCUACAUCUCUACUUGACUUGACUCUGACUCCCAGGGUCUUUUGGUCUCUUCAUUUCUUAUUACUGGACAUUAGUGCUCAAAGAAAUUUCUGUAAUAUUCUGUAAUUAGAGAAGCUCUGUAAUGAUGAAGAAUACAAAUGAAUGCUAGCAUUACCCACGGUAACAUUUAUGUCAUUUAAGACAUUUGCGUAACAAGCUACUAUUGAACAUUAGAACAAUAGAACAUUUGAAUGUGAGUUAGGUGAUGUGAUGAGUGUAUAAAUCUGCUACACACACACACACACACACACACACACAUUGUACAUAGCUCGAUGGCUAAAAUAAUUCAUUUUAAUAUGCAUUCAACUAAAUCUUUGUACAGAUUGGUUAAUGCCUACAGACCCAGGCAGGUAACAGGAGACAUUUUUAAAUAACUCAUUCCCUCAAAUUAGUUAGCUGAAAUGACUUAGUUCAUUACUUUAAAUGAAUAGUGUUGCAGCAGGCACUGAAGGUACUGCUUCUGUUGACUGCUGGCUGGGUGAGUUCCUAACAGCUCCUAACUGUUAUAAUACAGUGUGUAUCACAAUGUAAUAAACAUUGGGAUUCAAGAGUUUCAAGGGGAUGUCUGUCCUAGAGUUUUUGUUUUUAUAAAAAUGUAUUUUCAGAUUUUAUUCCACUUGACGUUGUAGCAAUUUCACUUUCUUGGACUGAGAUAUGUUGAUGUGCGUCACAUUUUGGCAAUGUUACAAUAAACAUCACUUUAUCAUAUUUUACAGGGCGACAGAUUGUGUUGCAAUGUUUUACAGUAAGCGAUGAAAUGUUGAUCUCAGCCAGGUCGUGAACUCUGAACUUUAAAGUUCUGGAGCACUUCAUUGCUGCAGAUGGAUGUGCAAAGAACAUGGACUGUGUGGAUAUAAGUAAUUUCAGGACAAAAAUAUUGAUCCAGAAGGCACAUCUAUCAGGUUUUUCCUCCUGACACCUGCUGUGCUCCAUAUGGACCUGCAGAGGGAGCUGCACAAAUAUUCCUCUUGCUUAAAUUUGCUUAAAUUUUAAUGUAUUUAUUUCUUUCAUUUCAAUGAUUUUUUUCUUUUCUGCAACUGCUAUACAAAUAAAAAAUAAAUAAAAUAUAAUUCAGAAAAAAUGAAGCAGAUAGAUCAAUUAUAUUGAAAUGUUUGUUACAUGUUAGACCAGAUGCAACAACAAUUUAACACUGAAAGGAACAUUUAAUCACAAAACCUUUACUUCUGAAUACCUUUAGCUUUACUUAAAGGGUAGGUUCACAUUUCUUCAAGCCUGUCUUGGAACAAUUGUCAGGUACCCAUAUGAACACUGAAACAGGGUUUUGCUUGCUGUAAAAAGAUCUGUUCCUAAUGUGCUAAGUUUGUCUUUUUAGUGCAAAAUGACCUCUGUGUUGCUGUUCCUCCGACGCAGCUCAACAAGGAAACACUGUCUGUGGAACAUUUGAUACUACAAAAACUGUAACUUUGAAAAACUGACUUGAAAAAUUGUGAACCUAUCCUCUAAGCCAAAGAUUUGAGUGUUUCUUUCACAACUGGUGGUGCCACAGGUUGACUGGUCUUCAUGAAGACCUCUUCUCCAGAUGAUGUCUAUUCCUGUGCCAUGCAGGAGUAUGUGCUGAAUGUGCAGGAUGUGACAAAGUAGCAGCAGUAUUACUUUACUGCUCCUCUGCAGCAGGAGAUUCCCUUUGGGACUGAACGUGGCACAAUGCAGAUGGAAGUACAAUCAGACAGACUGUAACCAACAAACAGUCAGACACAAUACAACCAAGGAGUGCACUCAGGACAAAGUACAUCAGUAACACAAAUCAACGGUAAACAGGAACACCAGAGGGUCGACUCCACUGCUUGUGCUCCACAGUCUCAUGGCACUGAGUUUGACUGAGAAAUGACUGAGUGAACUUUGUUGCUGUUAUGAAGCUGUGUGUGCACUAUAGCACUUAUUUCCCCUGUUACUUUCAACGGAGAGGACACAUAUUUGUGUUCCCCACAGCACCUGGAACUUCAGCAUGUUUUCUUAAAAGUUAAAAAUAUAUUUAAACUUUGGAAUAAUUGCUAUGAAACUUGGAACAUUCAUGGUCCCCAGAGGAUAAAUCCUAAAGAUUUCAAUACUACAACUUAUUUAACACUUAUGGAGUGUCUACUUCAGUGCAUCUGACAGAACAGGUACGCUCCUUUUCAAUCAAUCCAGCUCGUUUCACUCACACGUUUGCUAAUUUUUAGCGGAUAUUAUAAAUAAAAUAAAAUUAUAAAACACUCUGCUUUGAAUAAUAUUUUAGGUCAUGUAUGGUUUUUCCACAAGUACCAGAACUUGAGUAAAUAUACCUUCCACCUCAGGCAAUCACUUUCAGGACAUAUACAUGCAUGGUUUUUCAAUAUGGUGUUACCUUGACUUAAACUCUCAACUGUUUGCUCAUAAUGUUCACAAUCUAAGACUCAAUGCUUCAUCAUAAACUUGUUGUCGUCAUUGUUGUAUGUCUGUCUGGAUGCAGCAAAUUAUUGA